rnacentral:sRNA from 1 species
UCAGGGUGCCUGGUUCGGUCCCAUGCUGGUUCCCUAGCUGUAAGACUGGGGUCCGUGAGCUCCCACUUGCUCAGGUUGGCAUCAAUAUGGUGACCUCCCAGGAGUGGGGGAAUCACCAGAUUGCCUAAGGAGGGGUGAACCAGCCCAGGUCGGUAAUGGAGCAGGUCAAAAUUCCUGUGCUGAUCAGUUGAACUUUUUCUUUAAGUAACAUUCUU